UAGGGAAUCUUCGGCAAUGGACGAAAGUCUGACCGAGCAACGCCGCGUGAGUGAAGAAGGUUUUCGGAUCGUAAAACUCUGUUGUUAGAGAAGAACAAGGACGUUAGUAACUGAACGUCCCCUGACGGUAUCUAACCAGAAAGCCACGGCUAACUACGUGCCAGCAGCCGCGGUAAUACGUAGGUGGCAAGCGUUGUCCGGAUUUAUUGGGCGUAAAGCGAGCGCAGGCGGUUUCUUAAGUCUGAUGUGAAAGCCCCCGGCUCAACCGGGGAGGGUCAUUGGAAACUGGGAGACCUGAGGGCAGAAGAGGAGGGUGGAAGUCCAUGUGUAGCGGUGAAAUGCGUAGAUAUAUGGAGGAACACCAGUGGCGAAGGCGGCUCUCUGGUCUGUAACUGACGCUGAGGCUCGAAAGCGUGGGGAGCAAACAGG
rnacentral:rRNA from 1 species